UACGAGGGGGGCAAGUGUUGUUCGGAAUCACUGGGCGUAAAGGGAGCGUAGGCGGAUGUUUAAGUUGGAUGUUUAAAACCGGGGCCUAACCUCGGAGCGGCAUCCAAAACUGGGCAUCUUGAAUAGGUCAGAGGCUGGUGGAAUUGGAGGUGUAGCGGUGGAAUGCGUAGAGAUCUCCAAGAACACCUAUUGCGAAGGCAGCCAGCUGGGACCAUAUUGACGCUGAGGCUCGAAAGCAUGGGGAGCAAACAGG
rnacentral:rRNA from 1 species